GGACAUGGGAUCUACAUGGGAUUUACAUGGGAUGGACACGGGAUCUACAUGGGAAGGCCACAGGAAGGACAUGGGAUGGACAUGGAAAGGACAUGGGAUCUACACGCAACAUGGGAUGGACACGGGAUCUACAUGGGACAUGGGAAGGACAUGGGAUGGACACGGGAUGGACACGGGAAGGACACAGGAGGGACAUGGGACAUGGGAGGGACACGGGAAGGACACGGAAUCUACAUGGGACAUAGGAAGGACAUGGGAUGGACACAGGAUGGACAUGGGAAGGACAUGGGAAGGACACGGAAGGACAUGGGAUCUACACAGGACAUGGGAGGGACAGGG
rnacentral:lncRNA from 1 species